rnacentral:rRNA from 1 species
GACGAACGCUGGCGGCGUGCCUAACACAUGCAAGUCGAACGGAAAGGCCCUGCUUUUGUGGGGUGCUCGAGUGGCGAACGGGUGAGUAACACGUGAGUAACCUGCCCUUGACUUUGGGUUAACUUCAGGAAACUGGGGCUAAUACCGGAUAGGAGCUCCUGCUGCAUGGUGGGGGUUGGAAAGUUUCGGCGGUUGGGGAUGGACUCGCGGCUUAUCAGCUUGUUGGUGGGGUAGUGGCUUACCAAGGCUUUGACGGGUAGCCGGCCUGAGAGGGUGACCGGCCACAUUGGGACUGAGAUACGGCCCAGACUCCUACGGGAGGCAGCAGUGGGGAAUAUUGCACAAUGGGCGGAAGCCUGAUGCAGCAACGCCGCGUGCGGGAUGACGGCCUUCGGGUUGUAAACCGCUUUCGCCUGUGACGAAGCGUGAGUGACGGUAAUGGGUAAAGAAGCACCGGCUAACUACGUG